AACGAACGCUGGCGGCGCGCCUAAUACAUGCAAGUCGAGCGAGAAGACGUAGCAAUACGUUUGUAAAGCGGCGAACGGGUGAGGAAUACAUGGGUAACCUACCCUCGAGUGGGGAAUAACUAGCCGAAAGGUUAGCUAAUACCGCGUACGCUCCUUGGACUUCGGUUCAGGGAGGAAAGCGAUACCGUGGGUAUCGCGCUCUUGGAUGGGCUCAUGUCCUAUCAGCUUGUUGGUGAGGAACGGCUCACCAAGGCUUCGACGGGUAGCUGGUCUGAGAGGACGAUCAGCCACACUGGCACUGCGACACGGGCCAGACUCCUACGGGAGGCAGCAGUAAGGAAUAUUGCGCAAUGGGCGAAAGCCUGACGCAGCGACGCCGCGUGGGGGAUGAAGGUCUUCGGAUUGUAAACCCCC
rnacentral:rRNA from 1 species